rnacentral:rRNA from 1 species
AUACGUAGGGGGCAAGCGUUGUCCGGAAUCACUGGGCGUAAAGGGCGCGUAGGCGGCCUGUUAAGUCAGAUGUGAAAGUCCAUGGCUCAACCAUGGAAUUGCAUUUGAAACUGACAGGCUUGAGUGCAGGAGAGGAGAGUGGAAUUCCUAGUGUAGCGGUGAAAUGCGUAGAUAUUAGGAGGAACACCAGUGGCGAAGGCGACUCUCUGGACUGUAACUGACGCUGAGGCGCGAAAGCGUGGGGAGCGAACAGGAUUAGAUACCCUGGUAGUCCACGCCGUAAACGAUGAGUGCUAGGUGUUGGGGGUCGAACCUCAGUGCCGCAGUUAACACAUUAAGCACUCCGCCUGGGGAGUACGAUCGCAAGAUUGAA